UAUCAUUCAGUCAAUGUGCAAAUAAUUUGUGAUGCCAGACUCUGCAUAUUAAAUGUUGUGGCACGAUGGCCUGGAGGCACCCACGAUGCCUACAUUUUUGAGCACAGCAGCGUGCGCAGACGACUGCAGGAGGACGCAUUAAGGGGUGACAGGGGUUAUCCCCUUUUGAACUUUUUGAUCACCCCUGUGCCAAACCCCGAGACGCAUCAGGAGCGCAACUUCAAUCACGCGCGUGCACGAACACGAGCCACUGUGGAGCGCUGCGUGGGGCUUUUAAAAGGUAGAUGGCUCUGCCUGGCACACGCGGGGGGCACGUUGCUCUAUUCACCACAAAAGGUGUGUAACAUAAUUUUGGCAUGUGCCGUCUUGCACAACAUGGCCGAGAUUAAUCGUGUGCCAUUUGACGUGCUGGCCCCGGACCCAGAAGUGCCAGUGGAGCAGUGGGCAGCACCACCGGCUAUAGGAGCUGUUCAGCUCAGACAAGACCUUGUUCGGCGGUUUUAAGGGACCUCAUCCGUCAGGACCCUUGGCCGUGGCGCACGGGAGGCUGGUGGACGAGCCUCGGCUUCCCUCGCUUGGACCUGCUGCUCAGGCUCUGGGUGCGGCGCAAGGAUCGGUUAAGGCUCCUGGAUGGGCUGAGUGGG